rnacentral:rRNA from 1 species
AACGAACGCUGGCGGCAUGCCUAACACAUGCAAGUCGAACGCGUGUAGCAAUACACGAGUGGCGCACGGGUGAGUAAUACGUGGGAACCUGCCCUAGAGUGGGGGAUAACCCGGCGAAAGCCGGGCUAAUACCGCAUACGACCUGAGGGUGAAAGAUUUAUCGCUCUUGGAGGGGCCCACGUCGGAUUAGCUAGCUGGUG